rnacentral:rRNA from 1 species
AAUGGGGGCAACCCUGAUCUAGCCAUGCCGCGUGAGUGAUGAAGGCCUUAGGGUCGUAAAGCUCUUUCGCCUGUGAUGAUAAUGACAGUAGCAGGUAAAGAAACCCCGGCUAACUCCGUGCCAGCAGCCGCGGUAAUACGGAGGGGGUUAGCGUUGUUCGGAAUUACUGGGCGUAAAGCGCGCGUAGGCGGAUUAGAAAGUUGGGGGUGAAAUCCCGGGGCUCAACCCCGGAACUGCCUCCAAAACUGCUAGUCUAGAGUUCGAGAGAGGUGAGUGGGAUUCCGAGUGUAGAGGUGAAAUUCGUAGAUAUUCGGAGGAACACCAGUGGCGAAGGCGGCUCACUGGCUCGAUACUGACGCUGAGGUGCGAAAGUGUGGGGAGCAAACAGGAUU